UAAAAGUCCCCUUUCCAGUCGUACAUUAAUUGAUCGUGGCAGAAACCGCGGGCUGCCUACGCACCAGCUCUUCUUCUCCUAGGAACAGGGCAGCAAGGAACACGAUUCUAAGGAAUGCACCGAGAGCGCUCCAAGCCAGACACGACACCUUAGCACGGACUGCCAAACAAAACACAGCCUGGAUGGCGGAACAGAAACUUCUUUCUCGGAGUUGAGAGGCUGAGAAGCCCAAGAUCAAGGUGGCGAUAAGCUAAUCUGGAAAACCUGUUAAGUUGUCCUCUUACAAAAGCAGAGAGCCGAAGAACUUCUGAGAACAAAGAACAGUCACGCAGGUCUUGUGCUGCCAGAACCCGGAAGACAUCAUAAAACUCUGGCUGCAUAUGCAACUCGUCGGCCUGGCUGCUGGCAAUCCAAGAAUCCUGUUUUAUGAAAACGAUGACUACGAUGCAAUUUCCCAAUCACUGUCUCAUUAAGAGUGUUACCAGUCAAUAAUCUGAUGGAGAUAUAAAAUGGUGUUCUGGGUGUCAACAACAUCUUCUCAAUUGUCGGGAGCUGCCAGAAGAAAAGACACGUGCCUCGACAUGCAAGAUCAGCCACCCGCACAGCUGAGCUGCAUUAUCACGUCCAGCCCAGGGCCUGUAGGCUGGGCCCUCUUAUUGGUUUCCCAGGUGCUGUGCUUUUAGUUUCUCCCUUAUCCUCACCCCUGUUUCUUAGCAACUGACUUACAUCAGCUGCCCGCCUUCUACCCUU